UACGUAGGAGGCAAGCGUUGUCCGGAAUCAUUGGGCGUAAAGGGCGCGUAGGCGGCUUCUCAAGCGUGCGGUGAAAGUCAGGGGCUCAACCCCUGAUCGGCCGUGCGAACUGGGGGGCUGGAGCACUGUAGAGGCAGGCGGAAUUCCGGGUGUAGCGGUGGAAUGCGUAGAGAUCCGGAAGAACACCGGUGGCGAAGGCGGCCUGCUGGGCAGUGGCUGACGCUGAGGCGCGACAGCGUGGGGAGCAAACAGG
rnacentral:rRNA from 1 species